UAGAGAGCACCUGUCUUCCUUUUUUUUGGCCUGUCAGAGGCUGGGUCGUAGCACUUCCUGGCAUUCCCCCAGUUCCGUCCCGGCGUGGUGGUAGAGGCCAUUGGGGGUGCGCUAUGCUCCACUGAUUGCUCGCUGCGGGUUGUUUCUGUGCGGCGUCUAUUCCUCUCCUCCAAGCUGUGUCGUCCAGGACUGCCUGAUUGAGGGAAGUAUAACCCAGCUGCUGCGCAGUGUCGGCCGAUCAUUGAGGGAAACCACU